rnacentral:tRNA from 1 species
AGGGAUAUCGCCAAACGGUAAGGCACAGGACUUUGACUGCUGUAUUUCCGGGUUCGAAUCCCGGUAGCCCAG